UUCUAAACAACUUUAUUUUUUUUUUGAUAAUUUUCACAGGCUUUGUUUUAUUACAUUCUAACAUAAUUCAUAUGUUGAAAUCUCCUUAACUGUGCAUGCGUGCCUAACAUUGUUAUUCAUGCAUCUUUCAUUCCGUCUUACUUCUUAUGGAAUUUACAGGAGUGGUAAUUUGUUUUUAGUUUACCAAUGCUGUGUAUAUAGGACCAAUUAUGUUGCUCCAAAGAAUCACACAAGCUUUACUUUAGGCUAUUGAUUUUUGGUAACUUUAUUCUAGAUUGAUUUGUCUAGAAAAUGGGUAUUGGCUGAAACCUGUCAUUGUUUGUGUUCAUAUUUGUGCUUUCUUAUUAUGUGAAUGGACAUGGCACUCUUUCAAAGGCAUCUAACCGUAUGCUAACCAUCAUUCAUGUAUUUAUAGGGCUUUCUUUAUAUUGCUGUGUGGCUGCUUUUGACGCUAUUUUGGGUGUGACCUUCAAAUAGUUUUCUUUGAUUGCAUUUUAAAGCUUUUAUUUGUUAUUUUAUUUUGGGUGUCAUUUGUUUGUGAUGAGAACGUAUAAACUCCAACUUUUUUCCAAGAUAGAAUCUUAUUGGCUGAUUUAUCGUUUUUUGAAUGUUUCUGGGUCUGAAAAUGCACAUUGCAGCUGUUAUCGGCUGAUUUAAUCCAAUUUAAAUUGAUUUGACUUAGAUUUGGACAGAUUAGGACCUAAUUUUUCUUGUUCUUUCAAGAAAGUAAUUAUUCUCAUUUUUUCCUUAUGCACAAUUGAGUUGUGUCAUGUAGAAUAAUGCCUCCCUAUAUUUGAAUGUAAUUCAGCUUUGUAAUCAACAUUGAAUCUUGUGAAUGGGUGGAUGCGCAUUUAGGUGGUGAUGGGGCUACCCUGCCUAAGCAGGCGCCUUUGAGUUCCUAGGCAGUGAAUAUCGGGAAAAAAGUCAUCAAUUUGUAAUUUAUGUAGUGGUGUAUGUUUCUUAUCCUUUUUCUCAAAAAAGCCAAAAUAUGUUUGUGCUGUUAUGUACAAUCUUAAAAGUGCUAUAUACAUGCAUGCAAAUACAUAAUAACAUCCCUGCAUAUUAUGACGAAGUAUGGUUAAUUUACACUUGAUGAAACCUUAAUAUACUGUUCUAUUGGUCUUGGCGGUUUUUAGAACCUACAAGAGGCACCUGGGUAUGCGGAUUAGGUGCCUGCUGUUUAGGUUUGUCUUUCUGAUAAUCUUACUGCACCCCCUCUCUAGGCGGUGCCUAGGUGAGUGCUUUUACUGACAUUGGUUAGAUAUAUACUAUCUUAAGAUGAAUGCUUUCUUCAGAGUUAUCAUCGUAAUAAAACUGUACCAGAACAAACUAGCAGGACCAUGUGUCCAAUAAAAAGAAAAAGUGAAAUGCUUACAAGAACUGGCUUGAAGAACUAUGUGGUAUGAUAUGGAUUUGGGAUGCAGUGCUGCAACUGUUGCACCUUAACUAAUGAUGAUGAAGCUGGAACCCUACUAGUCUUUUGUCCAUAUGAGGUACAUGUAUCAAUUUGCACACUUGUACCCUUUCUUCAAAUAUUUUGUAGUCAUGUUGUUUUGAGGCCUGAACCAUUGCCCAUGUUGAUACCGUUGGCCAAGUAUCAGUGCGCAUACUUGUGCCCUUUUUUCAAAGAUUUUGGCCAACGUUGGUUGGAAUUUUUUUCCCUGAAUUUUUUAACAACCCCUUCCCCCAAGAAAUGGUGGGUUUUAAAGAGGAAACCUUCUCUUUUGGAUAAGAGAGUUCUUUCUGUUAAGGAUUGAAGAAGAGAGUGUACAUUUGGGCGCUUGACUUUUUUACAUCUCUUGUUGCAAUGGUGCUUGAGUGCAUCCAUGGCUCCCCAUCCAUGACCCCCCAUCCAUGACCAAUCUAUGCAUCAUUGCUUUUCCUAUGUUUUUGAAGUCUUGACAUUUUUGAAAUAGCAUUUUUGAAUGUUUUGGUUAUUGGGGGGGAUUUGGUUUUUGUGUUGUCCAUAAUUUAAAAUAGUGGUAUCUAGUUUCCAUAGGUCCUCUGUUCUGUGACCUCUGCCUAUAAGAUGCACACUGACCAUCCAAUGGGGCCUUGAAGUUCCUAUGGUUCCUCAUUUUAUCUUUUUAUUUUUUGUACUUGUUCCUUUUUCUGAUCUUUUAUCUUUGCAUAAACAUUUUACUUUUGUGAUUGCUAAUUGGACUAAAAAUAUACGAAAUUGGAUACUCCUUUACUGUUUUCCUGCUUCGGUGCUUCUUGUUUGCUUGGGUGAUAGCUUUUCAUGUUGUUUUUCUUGUUUGAUAUAGGUAAUUAUUUAUGUUGACAUCCUUUAAAUGUUUUAUAUGUAUGGAGAAUUUGUGUAGAUCAAUGCCGAAAGCAUAUUCUGAGGAACCUGAACAUGUUCCCAGAAUAAAGCAUUAUAUUUACAGCAUGGUGAAUUCUUGCCUUAGGGAGGCACAGGAGAUUGGAAAUCGAUGAUCGAGAAAACGUUAUUUUUCUUGUUAGGGAAAUUGAGCAAAUUUACUUUAUGAAUUUUAGUUUCUUAGCCUUGUUUGACACAUUAAACAACUCAAAAUCAGAUGAGUAUGUGGUACAAAAAUUUGUUCUUGAAUGAGAUUCUCUCUGAUGAUAUGUUUAUGGAUUUGUGAGAUAUUGGAUUGGAUGCAUUUUGAAUUGUACUGUGUAGUUUGCCAUUUACCGAUGGAGUCGUAAUGUCCAUGGAGAACAUCACUCGGCUUUGUGCUUGAUUUUGACUUCAAGUCUUUCUUUUACAGUUCUAGGGAACUAAUGACCACCCAGGGAGAUGUAUUAACCAAGGUUCAGAAACUUGUCUUGGCCAACGUACCCGGCCCUUGGCCAAGGGAAGUAACUUGGCAGAGUCCGAGUGGACUUCGCUGAGUCACGUAGAACCAGAAAAAGGUCAUUUUUUGUUAAAAUAGUUAAAAUAAGAAAAAAGUAAAAGAGGCGAUAGAAAGCAUUAGAAGACUAAAAAGAUGAAAAAGAUCUAUAAAAUAUGGAUUAUUGAAAAUUUUGAUUUUGAUUUUGAAUAUUUCAGAAAUUUUUUUUAAAAAAGGGAAUUUUUUUUGAAAGUUCUCAAAUCAUCUUAAAAACUACCAAAAUCAUGUGGGGCAAGUUGCUAUGGAACUUGGUGUUACAUGGCCUCACCCGAGGCGAGUCAAAGUAACUUGCUCGAAUCCGAGUGGACUUUGGCGAGGCACGGAAUGCUGGUGGAAACAUUUUGAUGCAAACGUGCCGAGCUUUACAGAAGGAGAUAUGUGAGAGAGAUGCAUAAUGAUCUCUUUUACAUCUAAGAAUAUGGCAAAUUGCUGUUAGAUGAAGCUUGACAAAGAUUAAAGACAAAUGACAAAUUUAUUGACAUUGUGAACAAUAUAGAUAGUGACUCAUAGGCAAAUAUACGAAACUUCUGAAAUGUAUUCCUAUAAUGUGUAGGAUCUUCUUCAGAUGCUGCAUGGAAUUUGACUAUGUCCAUCACAUUCUUUCCAUACUUGUUUGGAUAGAGAUAUAUAUGAGAUUGUUUUGUAACUUCGAGGUUCGAGUACACGGAUAUAUUGCAUCUAGAACUAGUAUUCCUUGUUUUGAAUUUUGAUUACUCUUUCACCCACACAGACCAAUUAAUGCACACUCUCCUUCUUGUAGAGCUUAAAAAUAGAGGUCAUGUCAAAUUUAAUGCCGUUCGAGUCAUGAAUUAGUAGUCUUCUCGGACCAAGCUCCUAGUGCAUGGUGGAUUCCAUAUACUGCCUUUUGAUGCUUUAAUACUUAGCAAGGAAGACUGAUUACUUGGAGGUAGAGAAGGUGUACCUCUUAACACCCCAUGGUGGAAGACAUUGUCACAUCCAUACGGAGAUGCCUACUGUUUUAUGGAAACCAAUUGCAUGAGUGUGUGAAUAAUAAUAUUUUUCAAUAGUAGUUUUAGAAUGCAGGAGAAAAAUAUUUCUUUUAUCCAUGCUAUGUCCUUCCCUGAGCAAAACUCUGUGCCUUAGAGUGACUGAGUCCACCAUCAGACUUGAUUUUUGCAGUUAUAUACCAACUUUAAUCCUUUUUUAAGCCAUAUGGUGAAUGUGAUUAUGGUUAAUUUCUUCAAAUCUUCUACUGCAUCUCCUAAUAUUGGGAUUAGGAAGGAAUUUAGUCAAUAGAUGCAAAGAUUGAUGAACAUGUUAGUUGUUCACUAGUAAUGGAAGGGAUACUUGAUUCAGUACCCUGGUCCUGUAACUGGUUCAGGAUGUGACAAGGCUUAGUAGGAGCUACCUGUCGCUUUUUUUUUUUUGGUACACCUAGAGAGGUUUGGGAGCAUCCACAUUGGCGUGUCAAUGUCGUAAGAGAAACUGAGAUGUCAUUUUCUGAAGGAAAGAGAACUGAGAAUCUGAGAAACUGAGGAAGGAAUGUGAAAAACCAUCCAUAGAUGCAAAGAUUGAUGAACAUGUUAGUUGUCACAAGAAUGGAAGGGCUACUUGAUUUAGUACCCAGGUCCUGUAACUGGUUCAGGAUGUGAAGAUGCCUUAGAUGGAACUACCUAUCAAUUUUUUUAUUAUACGUAGAGAGGUUUGGCAGCAUCAAGGUGGGAUGUCAAUGAAGUAAGAGAAACCAAAAUAUCUCUUUUUUGAAGAGAGGAGAAACUGACAAUCUGAGAUAUCAUUUUUAGUAAAUAUAUCAACACAAACAUCAUGUCCCUGCUGAGCAGUAACCUUUCAAAGAACUUUUCCUUCCUGUUCACUUUCCCUUGCAUGAUUGGGAUUGCAUUCAUGCUUAAUUGAGAACUUGCUGUUGCUGAUCACUUACCUUUGCUAUGCAGUAUCUCUGCACUACAUUCAUUUUAGGUUCAUGCAUAACUGAUAACUUUCUUUUGGUGAUCCGGUGAGCAUUGUAAAAUAUCCCUAAGGUGCUUUUCAUGGCUCGGAUUGGCCAUUUCUCAAUUUCCCACGGGUUGAAAGUUAAUUCCCAAAAUGUUGGAGAUUGCUGUUAUUGAAAUUGGGCCACCCUGGAAUUUCCCGGAUGCAAUAUUUUGUUCUAGGAGGUCCUUGCCUCUUAGGUUAUAUUCUAUGUGAUUGUCUUAUUUUGUUUCUGGAUCAAAGUCAUUUUCCAUUGGAACUCCUCAAAUGAUACCUAAAUAUCUAAAAUAGCUAUAGGUAAGCUUACUUUUGCAGAUGUCUGGAAUGUUUGGUAUGAAUUUGGGCCAAAACAGUCUCGUAAAUGUUGUAGAUAUGUUAUCAUUUACAUCCAGAAAUAAGUAGUGUUGAUAUUUUGGUAGGAUGGAUCUGAAAGCCACUCCUGUGUGAAGAGGCUAGUUUGAGGCAGAAUUCCCCAAUCUUUACCAUAAUUUCAAUUUUUAUCCAUGACAUUGCAUUUGUGCCAGGUGUUGGAAAACAUCGUUUCUUUUUCUUCAAACGCGUAGUCGGAGUCAUGCAGAAGGUGGGUGGGAGAAUCUUCUAUGAAAUAUUUUUAUGAAUUUUAUAUGGUUAGCUGGGACCCUCUUUCUCUGGGCUGGUUCCAUCUUUUAUUUGCAAAGAAAGUUUUGGAAGAUGAAUUGCUUGACAUUCUUUGAUAUGUCUGGGACAAGGCCGCUGCCUCCUGGUUUGACUUCCCUAGAGUUGUCAUCCUUAAUAGUUGAACAUGAGCAUGGUUGAUGACUAAUGGGUGAGAAUUUUCCUCGGUGGCCAAGAUUAAAUGUUACCCGCAUUUCUUUAUUGCAUUACUGGGAUUAUGUUCAGGAGUGAACUAGUAAAUUGUUUUUGAAGUACAAAUGUCUUCA